rnacentral:rRNA from 1 species
GACGAACGCUGGCGGCGUGCUUAACACAUGCAAGUCGAACGAAGUGGCGAACGGGUGAGUAACGCGUAAUCAACCUGCUCUUCAGACGGGGACAACAGUUGGAAACGACUGCUAAUACGCCAUACUGAAGGAGGGGACUGCGUCUGAUUAGGUAGGUGGGGGGGUAACGGCCUACCAAGGCGAUGAGCAGAUGCCGGACUGAAAGGGUGAACGGCCACAUUGGGACUGAGACAAGGCCCAGACUCCUACGGGAGGCAGCAGUGGGGAAUCUUCCGCAAUGGACGAAAGUCUGACGGAGCAACGCCGCGGGAGUGAUGACGGCUUUCGGGUUGUAAAGCUCUGUUAGUCGGGACGCGGUACCGGAAUAGAAAGCCACGGCUAACUACGUGCCAGCCGCCGCGGUAAUUC